GAUCACGUUUAGAUGGCAUUUACGUCGAUCUAAACGUUUAGGAAUCUAAUCUAAACGUGUUCUGAAUAUUUAAUUUGCGUUGAAAAGCUAAAUCAAACAAUUUCCGUACGGAACUAACUAAAUUAAAUUAGUUUCUUACAAAAUGUGUCGGACAUUUUGAAUCUUUCAUUAUGAUUAAAAAUUAGAGUUUCUUAUUAAUCUUAAAUUAUGUAAUAAAGGUUUAGAAAAAAUAAAAGAAAUUUGUUUUUAGUAUUAUAUUGUGGCUAAUGAAGGAGUUAAAAAGUCCUUCCAGUCAGUUGCAACAACAAUUAAAGCAGCAGGAAACAGCCAAGUACACAUGCAAGUGAUUGUUAUGAGGAUUGCAAAACUUUUAAAUAUCAGAAACUGAAGAAAGCAUUCAUAAUCAGCAGAUAUCAAAAAAGCGCAAAAGUACUGAUUUUACAACUCUUUUAAAGUUGAGGAAGAAUUUUAUGUUAAUGUUAAUGCAAAAGGUACGAAUAUUGACAGGUUAGCUAAUUUGAUGUAACAAUAAACAUGAAAUAAAGUUUGUGAAGACCUUAGUGCCAAAAAUACUUGCAUGCAUUAUUCAUGCAUGCUGUAUUAUAAUAUAGCAUGCAUGCAUGAUGCAUUUAAGUAUAAAAAAAAGUUACAAAUGUUUAAUUAUACAAAAAGAUUAUGGAUGUGGUACUGCAAGUAUAUUCAAUUGAUUAUGCAAUUAAACCAUCACCACUUCCACAGCAACCUUGUCUCAAGCAUUAAAUCGUAUUCUAAGAUAUCUUUAUUCAAAUUAAGUGUGACUACUUUACCAAAAGACUCUAGAAUGGACCAAUCAAGUAAGAUGUCUAAAUCUAUAUCUUUUAUAUAGAACUCCUUUAUUUUUAAAUAAACCUGUUAAUUUUAUGACUUAUGAACAUAUUUAGCAAUGUAAUCCUUUUAGGAUUGACUUUAAA
rnacentral:lncRNA from 1 species